rnacentral:misc_RNA from 1 species
UCCCGGUUGGCCCGGGCAGUCUCGCAUGAAAAAUACAACAUACGAUAAGGGUUGCGCUCGUUGCGGGACUUAACCCAACAUCUCACGACACGAGCUGACGACGGCCAUGCAGCACCUGUCACUUGGCUCCCGAGGGCACCCCCGCGUUUCCGCAGGGUUCCAAGGAUGUCAAGCCUGGGUAAGGUUCUUCGCGUAUCGUCAAAUUAAACCACAUCAUCCUCCGCUUGUGCGGGUCCCCGUCAAUUCCUUUGAGUUUUAGCCUUGCGGCCGUACUUCCCAGGCGGCAUACUUAUCGCGUUAGCUUCGUUUCUCAGGGGGUCGAUACCCCAAAAAACUAGUAUGCAUCGUUUACGGCGUGGACUAC